rnacentral:rRNA from 1 species
GGGGAAUAUUGGACAAUGGGGGAAACCCUGAUCCAGCGACGCCGCGUGAGUGAAGAAGUAUUUCGGUAUGUAAAGCUCUAUCAGCAGGGAAGAAAAUGACGGUACCUGACUAAGAAGCCCCGGCUAACUACGUGCCAGCAGCCGCGGUAAUACGUAGGGGGCAAGCGUUAUCCGGAUUUACUGGGUGUAAAGGGAGCGCAGACGGCAAUGCAAGUCUGAAGUGAAAGGCGUGGGCUCAACCCAUGAACUGCUUUGGAAACUGUAUAGCUUGAGUGUCGGAGGGGUAAGCGGAAUUCCUAGUGUAGCGGUGAAAUGCGUAGAUAUUAGGAGGAACACCGGAGGCGAAGGCGGCUUACUGGACGACAACUGACGUUGAGGCUCGAAGGCGUGGGGAGCAAACAGGAUUAGAUACCCUGGUAGUCCACGCAGUAAACGAUGAAUACUUGGUGUCGGGGAGGUAAACUCUUCGGUGCCGCAAGCAAACGCAUUAAGUAUUCCACCUGGGGAGUACGUUCGCAAGAAUG